GUAGGUGGCAAGCGUUGUCCGGGAAUUAUUGGGGCGUAAAAGCGCGCGCAGGCGGUUCUUUAAGUCUGAUGUGAAAGCCCACGGGCUCAACCGUGGAGGGUCAUUGGAAACUGGAGAACUUGAGUACAGAAGAGGAAAGCGGAAUUCCACGUGUAGCGGUGAAAUGCGUAGAGAUGUGGAGGAACACCAGUGGCGAAGGCGGCUUUCUGGUCUGUAACUGACGCUGAGGCGCGAAAGCGUGGGGAGCAAACAGGAUUAGAUACCCUGGUAGUCCACGCCGUAAACGAUGAGUGCUAAGUGUUAGGGGGUUUCCGCCCCUUAGUGCUGCAGCUAACGCAUUAAGCACUCCGCCUGGGGAGUACGGCCGCAAAGGCUGA
rnacentral:rRNA from 1 species